rnacentral:rRNA from 1 species
UCCUCCCUCUGGCGGCGUGCUUAACACAUGCAAGUCGAACGGAAAGGCCCUGCUUUUGUGGGGUGCUCGAGUGGCGAACGGGUGAGUAACACGUGAGUAACCUGCCCUUGACUUUGGGAUAACUUCAGGAAACUGGGGCUAAUACCGGAUAGGAGCUCCUGCUGCAUGGUGGGGGUUGGAAAGUUUCGGCGGUUGGGGAUGGACUCGCGGCUUAUCAGCUUGUUGGUGGGGUAGUGGCUUACCAAGGCUUUGACGGGUAGCCGGCCUGAGAGGGUGACCGGCCACAUUGGGACUGAGAUACGGCCCAGACUCCUACGGGAGGCAGCAGUGGGGAAUAUUGCACAAUGGGCGGAAGCCUGAUGCAGCAACGCCGCGUGCGGGAUGACGGCCUUCGGGUUGUAAACCGCUUUCGCCUGUGACGAAGCGUGAGUGACGGUAAUGGGUAAAGAAGCACCGGCUAACUACGUG